rfam:Gossypium hirsutum cultivar TM-1 chromosome 12, whole genome shotgun sequence
UAUUAAAAUUUUUAUCUAUUUGUAUUGUAAAAAACUGGCGCGAUUGAUAAAAUAACUCAACAAUGACACUUGGCAUGUCUUGUGUACCUCAUUUUAAUGUACAAGGCCUAACUUUUGAUACUAGAAAUGAAUGAAAUUUUUAAUA